rnacentral:sRNA from 1 species
GGACUACUAGGACGCACGCGCGAGAUAGAACCUCUAGUCUCGUGGAGAGAUUGAAGAUGGCGGCUUCUCAGGCGGUGGAGGAAAUGCGGAGCCGCGUGGUUCUGGGGGAGUUUGGAGUUCGCAAUGUCCAUACUACUGACUUUCCCGGUAACUAUUCCGGUUAUGAUGAUGCCUGGGACCAGGACCGCUUCGAGAAGAAUUUCCGUGUGGAUGUAGUACACAUGGAUGAAAACUCACUGGAGUUUGACAUGGUGGGAAUUGACGCAGCCAUUGCCAAUGCUUUUCGACGAAUUCUGCUAGCUGAGGUGCCAACUAUGGCUGUGGAGAAGGUCCUGGUGUACAAUAAUACAUCCAUUGUUCAGGAUGAGAUUCUUGCUCACCGUCUGGGGCUCAUUCCCAUUCAUGCAGAUCCCCGUCUUUUUGAGUACCGGAACCAAGGUGAGAAAAUGAAAUUUUGGGAGAAGUGGACUAUCUGGGUUCAAAUCCUGGUUGACUGUGAUGUUGGGUAAGUUACUUAUCUUUGUACAUCAGUGUUUUUCAUCUGUGAGAACACUUGCCUUGUCUCCCAAGUUUGCCAUAAUUAAAUGGGAAACACGUAAAGCAUUCAGCAUAGUGCUGGCACUCAGACGUUUACUAGUUCUUAGGAGCUCCCUCCAUUUGUGCAGGAGAUGAAGAAGGCACAGAGAUAGAUACUCUACAGUUUCGUCUCCAAGUCAGAUGCACUCGGAACCCCCAUGCUGCUAAAGAUUCCUCUGACCCCAACGAACUGUACGUGAACCACAAAGGUGAGUAGUGGUAGGGUGAGGAAGAGGCCCCACCUGUGGGUAGCUGCUAGUUUUAGGGACUGAGAUCUUCUGACAUGUUUUUCCUCCAGUGUAUACCAGGCAUAUGACAUGGAUCCCCCUGGGGAACCAGGCUGAUCUCUUUCCAGAGGGCACUAUCCGACCAGUGCACGAUGAUAUCCUCAUCGCUCAGCUGCGGCCUGGCCAAGAAAUUGACCUGCUCAUGCACUGUGUCAAGGGCAUUGGCAAAGAUCAUGCCAAGUUUUCACCAGUGGCAACAGCCAGUUACAGGCUCCUGCCAGACAUCACCCUGCUUGAGCCCGUGGAAGGGGAGGCAGCUGAGGAGUUGAGCAGGUGCUUCUCACCUGGUGUUAUUGAGGUGCAGGAAGUCCAAGGUAAAAAGGUGGCCAGAGUUGCCAACCCCCGGCUGGAUACCUUCAGCAGAGAAAUCUUCCGGAAUGAGAAGCUAAAGAAGGUUGUGAGGCUUGCCCGGGUUCGAGAUCAUUAUAUCUGUGAGUAUGAAGUGGUGAGAUGAGUGGGCAGUGCUCUUUGGUGCUGCAGCUUCCUUCCAGUCUAGAUGUGAAGUUUAUGAGUAAGUUUUACAGGCAAGCCCUGCCUAGACUAAAGUGUCUCUUUGGUCCCCAGUCUCUGUUGAGUCAACGGGGGUGUUGCCACCAGAUGUGCUGGUGAGUGAAGCCAUCAAAGUACUGAUGGGGAAGUGCCGGCGCUUCUUGGAUGAACUAGAUGCGGUUCAGAUGGACUGAGCUUGGAUGCUUCUGAGGCAAGCUGAAGCUUUGGGUUCUGACUGACCCACCCUACAGGACUGCUGAACAGAGCCCAGUGUGACUAGGGAUCCUGAGUUUUCUGGGACAAUUCCAGCUUUAAUCAAUACAUUUUGUUAAAUGUGCCAUAAAAUGAGACUUUUUACGCCUUUAUAAGGC